rnacentral:lncRNA from 1 species
CACAGGCGCUGCAGCCAACAAUUUCGCGCACUGUAGACGUAGUAGCCAAUCAGAAGGCGCAGCUGUAGGGGCCGGGGUGGGAUCAACCCGUGACUCGCGGUGACUCCCUAGCAGGGAGCGGGGAGAGCGUCUCCAUCUGUUGAUCCCCCUAGCCUGCCCAAGCCAGACUUCAAGGCUUCGAAGGAAAAGCUGCAGAAGUUGGAUGAGGAGGGACAGCUCUGUCACCUGGGAAGAGUUUGCCAAAAUGAAGCAGGAGCUAGAAGGCUCAAAGGCCCACCAGGCAUAUCCUCUGACAUGACAUUAAGAUCAGAUCCCGGGGACACAAAGAGAGGUAUCCCUGCAGCUCUACAGCCCUUCUUCCUGUGGCAGCAGGAUCUCCAUGGGAAGGUACAAGACACAGAACUUGGAACCUAAGAAGUCAAGGCUAACCCCUCCUCCACAGGCCCUAGCAAGGACCACAGGUUAAAUUUUCUACAUCUAUUUCCUGACCAGGAAAAUGAAACUACCCUGUCUUGGCUCUCCCCAGUGCUUAAGGAGAUAAGAAACCAGAUGUAACUUCAGAUGGCCCUUUGCCAUACGGGACAAGGUUUAAGCCCCACAUUUCCAGCCCAUUUCACCCCACUGGGAUGCUAGACUUCUUGGUUGCUUGUGCCUGCUGGGUAAAGCCCAAAGUACAGGCUAGAGACAGCCCACAGCAACUGUGACAAACGCUCAGGACCCUGG